GCUCCGGUGGUGUAGUUCGGUCAAGCAUUGCGGCCUUUCGAGUCGCAGAUCCCGGGUUCAAAUCCCGGCCGGAGCA
rnacentral:tRNA from 1 species